rnacentral:sRNA from 2 species
GCUGUGGUUGUUCGGACGUAACUUCCUCGAAAUGUUUGAAGGCCAAUCAGGCUCUCGAAGAGAACGAGGAGCUGCAUCCGCAGGCACACGACAUAGCGCUAGACAUGAGGUUUUCCGCAAAGGACGCCAAUGUGUCGGGCAUCGACAUGUAUGAUCCUAUGAUAUCGUUGAUAAUACCAACUACAUGGUAUACUAGAUCUUUUUCCGAUUGAGUUUCAGACGUUCACAACAUUUGAAAUGGGCAUGUUGGACACACGAAGGGUGGCUGUGCAGCAAUCCAUUUUACACUGAAAAACAAAAUGGGGG